GAUGAACGCUAGCGGCAGGCUUAACACAUGCAAGUCGUGGGGCAGCGCGGACUUCGGUCUGGCGGCGACCGGCAAACGGGUGCGGAACACGUACGCAACCUCCCUCAGAGCGGGGAAUAGCCUCUCGAAAGAGAGAUUAAUACCCCAUAGUAUCUUGAAGACACAUGUCUAUGAGAUUAAAGCUUCGGCACUUUGAGAUGGGCGUGCGGCUGAUUAGGUAGUUGGUAGGGUAACGGCCUACCAAGCCGACGAUCAGUAGCUGAUGUGAGAGCAUGAUCAGCCACACGGGCACUGAGACACGGGCCCGACUCCUACGGGAGGCAGCAGUGAGGAAUAUUGGUCAAAUGGAGGAAACUCUGAACCAGCCAUGCCGCGUGGAGGAUGAAGGUCCUCUGGAUUGUAAACUCCUUUUAUAAAGAAGAAACCCCAUUUUUCUAAAUGGGUUGACGGUACUUUAUGAAUAAGCACCGGCUAACUCCGUGCCAGCAGCCG
rnacentral:rRNA from 1 species